UGCAAAUCCUUGUUAAAGUGA
rnacentral:piRNA from 1 species